CCAAGUGAUCUAUUAUACUUUGUUUCAUCUUUGACAUUGACACCUGUAGUUGUUUUGCAGCCAACUGCUGUGGUGCUUUUCAUGACACCAUAAUUGAAGGUAAUAUACAUGUGGAAGUUAGUGGCAACAACAUCUCCCAUAUCACAUGCUGUUCUUACAUUGCAACUUUGACACUCCUGCUAUUAACAGUAUUUUACCCAAUGAUGUCAUCAGAGACCCAGUUCUUUCCAUUUCUCAGUUUGGACAUGCCCAUGGUUGCCUUCAUCUUCAAGCAGAAAGUGAGGUGGUUACAACAGUUUCCAAAAUCGAACUGACACCAAUUAAUACCCUGAAGAAGAAUGAAGCUGUCUUCUUUUCCCCGCUAAAAAACAGUCAAGGCUCUCCUCCCAUGUCAUUUGUCCUAACUGGCUAACAUUUGUCAUUCCCUGAAUCAAUCAUAGACAAAUAAAAUGGAGAUACCAUUAUUGGCUUAAAUUAAGGAUCUUCAGACAGAAUGGAUGUUGAAAAAAGCCACUAAAUCUGCCAUAUCUAUAAAAAAAAUUAACAUUUCAGGACAAUUUCCACCUCAACUCUUCACUAGCUUUCUUAGCUAUUCUCAUGUUUAUAUUUCCCUAUACACUUUAGGAUAAGAUUCUUAAAUUUUUAAAAGAUCUUAUUUUGCUUUUGUAUGGAAUACUACUACAUGUACUAUAAUAUUCAGACAGUUGACAUCUUUAAAAUAUUGAGACAUUCAAUCCAGGAAGAAAAUAGGCUUUAUCCUUUAUUCUGGUUUUAUAAUUUAUCUUUUACUAGAAUUUUAAUAUUUUCUUUAUAUAGACUGUUAAUUUUCAUGUUACAAAGGUUUUAAUAUUUUUGUUAUUAUUAUAAACAGGAUAUUCCUCCAUCACAUAAUGUUAUUUACUAUUUGCAUAUAUAAUAACUAUUGCUUUUUUUUUUUUUUUUUUUUGAGAUGGAGUCUCACUCUUUCGACCAGGCUGGAGUGCAAUGGCACGAUCUCAGCUCACUACAACCUCGCCUCCCAGUUUCAAGCCAUUCUCCUGCCUUGGCCUUCUGAGUAGCUGGGAUUUUAACCGCAUGCCACCACGCCCAGCUAAUUUUUGUAUUUUUAAUAGAGAUGGGAUUUCACUAUGUUGGCCAGGCUGGACACGAACUCCUGACCUCAAGUGAUCCACCUGCCUUGACUUCCCAAAGUGCUUGGAUUACAGGCAUUAGCCACCAUGCCCAGCCAUCUAUUGUUUUUUAAAAAUUAAUUUUGAAAUCAGCUAUUUUACUCCAUUAUCUUGUCUUUUAUAGAUUCUUAGACAUUUCUUUUAAAUUUUCUGGGUAUAAAAUCAUAUUAUCUGCAAAUAAUUUUAAUUAUAUCAUCACAUUUUUACCUUUUAUAUUAUCCUUCUCUUUUCUAAUUAAAUUUAACAUUCUACCAGAGCAACAUUAAAUAUACUAGUAAUAUUUAUUGGAUGCUUCUGGUAUUUUACAGUUAAACACAUGAUUCCAUAUUUGUUA
rnacentral:lncRNA from 1 species